CCUACGGGCGGCAGCAGUGAGGAAUAUUGGUCAAUGGGCGCGAGCCUGAACCAGCCAAGUAGCGUGAAGGAUGACUGCCCUACGGGUUGUAAACUUCUUUUAUAAAGGAGUAAAGUGAGGCACGUGUGCCUUUUUGCAUGUACUUUAUGAAUAAGGAUCGGCUAACUCCGUGCCAGCAGCCGCGGUAAUACGGAGGUUCCGAGCGUUACCCGGAUUUAUUGGGUUUAAAGGGAGCGUAGGUGGGUGGUGAAGUCCGUUGUGAAAGUUUGCGGCUCAACCGUAAACUUGCAAUUGAUACUGGCAGCCUGGAGUGCAGGUGAGGUAGGCGGAAUUCGUGGUGUAGCGGUGAAAUGCUUAGAUAUCACGAAGAACUCCGAUUGCGAAGGCAGCUUACUGGACUGCAACUGACGUUGAUGCUCGAAAGUGUGGGUAUCAAACAGGAUUAGAUACCCGAGUAGUC
rnacentral:rRNA from 1 species